rnacentral:rRNA from 1 species
AUUGAACGCUGGCGGCAGGCCUCACACAUGCAAGUCGAGCGAGCGGCGGACGGGUGAGUAAUGUCUGGGAAACUGCCUGAUGGAGGGGGAUAACUACUGGAAACGGUAGCUAAUACCGCAUACCAUCAGAUGUGCCCAGAUGGGAUUAGCUAGUAGGUGGGGUAACGGCUACACUAGGCGACGAUCCCUAGAGGGUCUGAGCGGAUGACCAGCCAAACUGGAACUGAGACACGGUCCAGACUCCUACGGGCGGCAGCAGUGGGGAAUAGUGCACAAUGGGCGCAAGCCUGAUGCAGCCAUGCCGCGUGUGUGAAGAAGGCCUUCGGGUUGUAAAGCACUUUCAGCGGGGAGGCGUUACCCGCAGAAGAAGCACCGGCUAACUCCGUGCCAGCAGCCGCGGUAAUUC